GACGAACGCUGGCGGCGUGCUUAACACAUGCAAGUCGAACGAUGAAGCGGGUGCUUGCACUCGGGGAUUAGUGGCGAACGGGCGAGUAACACGUGAGUAACCUGCCCUUUUCUUUGGGAUAACGGCUGGAAACGGCUGCUAAUACUGGAUAUUCAGGCUGCAUCCCAUGUUGUGGUUUGGAAAGGUUUUUUGUGGGGUUGGGUGGGCUCGCGGACUAUCAGCUUGUUUGUGGGGUGAUGGCUUACCAAGGGUUUGACGUGUAGCCGGACUGAGAGGGUGGGCGAUCGCACUACGAGUGAGAUACGGCCUAGAAUACGACGGGAGGCCGCAGUGGAGAAUAAUGCACAGUAGACGAAAGUUUGAUGGAAAGACGCAUCGUGGAGCGUGGAGGCCGUCGGGUUGUGAACUCCUUUUUAUCGCGAAAAAGGCACAGAAGUGGCUGUGUUGAUGGUAGUGGGGGAAGAAGCGCCGGCUAACUACGUG
rnacentral:rRNA from 1 species